rnacentral:rRNA from 1 species
CCUACGGGUGGCUGCAGUAGGGAAUCUUCCACAAUGGGUGCAAGCCUGAUGGAGCAAUGCCGCGUGAGUGAAGAAGGACUUCGGUUCGUAAAGCUCUGUUGUUGGGGAAGAACACGGAUAGGAGUCACUGCCUAUCCCUUGACGGUACCCAACCAGAAAGUCACGGCUAACUACGUGCCAGCAGCCGCGGUAAUACGUAGGUGACAAGCGUUGUCCGGAUUUAUUGGGCGUAAAGCGAGCGCAGGCGGUCCGGUAAGUCUGAUGUGAAAGCCCACGGCUCAACCGUGGAACGGCAUUGGAAACUGGCGGACUUGAAUGUAGCAGAGGAAAGUGGAAUUCCAUGUGUAGCGGUGGAAUGCGUAGAUAUAUGGAGGAACACCAGUGGCGAAAGCGACUUUCUGGGCUAUGAUUGACGCUGAGGCUCGAAAGCGUGGGGAGCGAACAGGAUUAGAUACCCGUGUAGU